GAUACGUGAACCUGAUGAAUGCUGGAAGGAAGCCCCGCGCUCUGGCUGGUCCCUGGAGUCCAAGCCACGGGCUCCAGGCCCAGGUUAUUCCAAGGACUCGGGAUCUCCUGCAGCAGCAGUCUCAGAAGUCACGAGCCCUCUCUGGUGCUGAGGCCUCGGCCAUUGUCCCAAUCACAGGACUUCCAGGGUCGGGCUCUGAGGGGCCAUGCCUGCUGCCCCAAGAUUGCCAGGGACAGGGGCACGUGAGUGGCUCAGUCAGGUGGAGGAAGAAGCCAGGACCUGAGGAAUGCAGACAGCCUCGAGGCUGGAAAGGGCAAGGAAACAGAUUGUUCCCGAGAGCCUCCAGAAGGAACAAGCCUGCUGACACCUUGACUUCAGCCCAGUAAGACCCACUUCAAGCUGCUGACGUCCAGAACUAAAUGUGCAGGCCUGAAACACCUGAAUUUUUCCUGGAAUACUUGAAAGCAAAUUAUGCGCCGGAACCUCUCAGGCCUGUUCCCAGCGGAAUUUCCUUUGAGUGCUCAUAUCUUGAAACCUUAUGUAACCUGACACAAUUAUCUGAAAAGGCUCGGAAUCCAAAAGAACAGUGUUCUGAGCUAGGAAUGAAGGUUGGAGCUGGGAAAGACGUGUCCUCCCCCUGCCCGGGGACUGGGUCAUACUUCACUGCGACAAUACCCAAUUCACAUUCCAAAGAAAAAUGCUAACCCUCUGACACUGUGACCAGGGGGAGGCUUUGCUUCAUCUCUCCAAGCAAGGAAUCACUUAACGAGGUGCUCGAGGGACAUUACAAAAGCCCUAGACCUGGCUGGUGAUUAAAAAUAUUUCGAUAACCACCAUGAGCAAGUGGUCUUCCCAGGAUGGAAGCCAGAAUGGCUUGGGCCCCUUUUGGGGAAUAUACCCCCCCCUCCACCAACUCAAAAAUCAACCCAUUUGAAGAGGUGGCGUCUCACACCAGCAGUUAGCAGUACAAAUGGGAUACAUACGGGGGAGUCUGGAAACCUUAUUUUCACCCGGUGAUGGGUCCAGGUGAUUCUGACUCAAGCCCAGCCCAAGACUCCAUCUCCCCAGGCCAACCCCCAACUCCAGGGAGAAGUGGGGAAUGAGGACACAAACUCUAAGUGCAGACCUAAAACUGGGGCUCCAUGAGAUGACCCCGCAUUCCAGAAAGCCCCUGACCCAAGAAGCUUCCUCUGCCCCUUAUUUUGUUUCACUUUCAGAAAUCCCCAUCCUGCUCACCAUUUGCAUACCAGCGGUGAGAGACCUCCUAGGAGAACAGGCACCACUCAUAGGUGGUUGGCUUUUCAAGGAAUUUGCUGGAGAAAAUUGUAGGCAAGGCUGUGAACAAAACCCCCCUCCAUCUGGUUUCAGUUUAUUUAAAAAAACAACGCACACAGGCCUCCCCACCAGCAAUCAGAAAACAGCCACAGCUUCCCCAGGGGGGUAUUAGCCACCAAGGGUGGGGUGAAUUUUAUAUAUGUAAAUAAAGUAAAUCAGCUAGCCAACAGCAACUAAUUUUUGUAUCUUUUGCAGUUGUUCUGCC